rnacentral:rRNA from 1 species
UACGGGGGGGGCAAGCGUUGUUCGGAAUUACUGGGCGUAAAGGGCUCGUAGGCGGCCAACUAAGUCAGACGUGAAAUCCCUCGGCUUAACCGGGGAACUGCGUCUGAUACUGGAUGGCUUGAGUUCGGGAGGAGGGAUGCGGAAUUCCAGGUGUAGCGGUAGAAAUGCGUAGAUAUCUGGAGGAACACCGGUGGCGAAGGCGGCAUCCUGGACCGAUACUGACGCUGAGGAGCGAAAGCCAGGGGAGCAAACGGG